rnacentral:rRNA from 1 species
GGAGCAUGUGGUUUAAUUCGAUGCAACGCGAAGAACCUUACCAAGGCUUGACAUAUACGAGAACGGGCCAGAAAUGGUCAACUCUUUGGACACUCGUAAACAGGUGGUGCAUGGUUGUCGUCAGCUCGUGUCGUGAGAUGUUGGGUUAAGUCCCGCAACGAGCGCAACCCUCGUUCUAUGUUGCCAGCACGUAAUGGUGGGAACUCAUGGGAUACUGCCGGGGUCAACUCGGAGGAAGGUGGGGACGACGUCAAAUCAUCAUGCCCCUUAUGUCUUGGGCUUCACGCAUGCUACAAUGGCCAGUACAAAGGGCUGCAAUACCGUAAGGUGGAGCGAAUCCCAAAAAGCUGGUCCCAGUUCGGAUUGAGGUCUGCAACUCGACCUCANGAAGUCGGAGUCGC